GACGAACGCUGGCGGCGUGCUUAACACAUGCAAGUCGAACGGAAAGGCCCUGCUUUUGUGGGGUGCUCGAGUGGCGAACGGGUGAGUAACACGUGAGUAACCUGCCCUUGACUUUGGGAUAACUUCAGGAAACUGGGGCUAAUACCGGAUAGGAGCUCCUGCUGCAUGGUGGGGGUUGGAAAGUUUCGGCGGUUGGGGAUGGACUCGCGGCUUAUCAGCUUGUUGGUGGGGUAGUGGCUUACCAAGGCUUUGACGGGUAGCCGGCCUGAGAGGGUGACCGGCCACAUUGGGACUGAGAUACGGCCCAGACUCCUACGGGAGGCAGCAGUGGGGAAUAUUGCACAAUGGGCGGAAGCCUGAUGCAGCAACGCCGCGUGCGGGAUGACGGCCUUCGGGUUGUAAACCGCUUUCGCCUGUGACGAAGCGUGAGUGACGGUAAUGGGUAAAGAAGCACCGGCUAACUACGUGCCAGCAGCCGCGGUGAUACGUAGGGUGCGAGCGUUGUCCGGACUUAUUGGGCGUAAAGGGCUCGUAGGUGGUUGAUCGCGUCGGAAGUGUAAUCUUGGGGCUUAACCCUGAGCGUGCUUUCGAUACGGGUUGACUUGAGGAAGGUAGGGGAGAAUGGAAUUCCUGGUGGAGCGGUGGAAUGCGCAGAUAUCAGGAGGAACACCAGUGGCGAAGGCGGUUCUCUGGGCCUUUCCUGACGCUGAGGAGCGAAAGCGUGGGGAGCGAACAGGCUUAGAUACCCUGGUAGUCCACGCUGUAAACGGUGGGUACUAGGUGUGGGGUCCAUUCCACGGGUUCCGUGCCGUAGCUAACGCUUUAAGUACCCCGCCUGGGGAGUACGGCCGCAAGGCUAAAACUCAAAGGAAUUGACGGGGCCCCGCACAAGCGGCGGAGCAUGCGGAUUAAUUCGAUGCAACGCGUAGAACCUUACCUGGGUUUGACAUGGAUCGGGAGUGCUCAGAGAUGGGUGUGCCUCUUUUGGGGUCGGUUCACAGGUGGUGCAUGGCUGUCGUCAGCUCGUGUCGUGAGAUGUUGGGUUAAGUCCCGCAACGAGCGCAACCCUUGUUCACUGUUGCCAGCACGUUAUGGUGGGGACUCAGUGGAGACCACCGGGGUCAACUCGGAGGAAGGUGGGGAUGACGUCAAGUCAUCAUGCCCCUUAUGUCCAGGGCUUCACGCAUGCUACAAUGGCUGGUACAGAGAGUGGCGAGCCUGUGAGGGUGAGCGAAUCUCGGAAAGCCGGUCUCAGUUCGGAUUGGGGUCUGCAACUCGACCUCAUGAAGUCGGAGUCGCUAGUAAUCGCAGAUCAGCAACGCUGCGGUGAAUACGUUCCCGGG
rnacentral:rRNA from 1 species